AUUGAACGCUGUCGGCAGGCCUAACACAUGCAAGUCGAGCGGAUGAAGAGAGCUUGCUCUCUGAUUUAGCGGCGGACGGGUGAGUAAUGCCUAGGAAUCUGCCUGGUAGUGGGGGAUAACGUUCCUAAAGGAACGCUAAUACCGCAUACGGCCUACGGGAGAAAGCAGGAUACCUUCGGGCCUUGCGCUAACAUAUCAGCCUAGGUCGGAUUAGCUAGUUGGUGAGGUGAUGGCUUACCAAGGCUACGAUCCGUAACUGGUCUGAGAGGAUGAUCAGUCACACUGGAACUGAGACACGGUCCAGACUCCUACGGGAGGCAGCAGUGGGGAAUAUUGGACAAUGGGUGAAAGCCUGAUCCAGCCAUGCCGCGUGUGUGAAGAAGGUCUUCGGAUUGUAAAGCACUUUAAGUUGGGAGGAAGGGCAGUAAGUUAAUACCUUGCUGUUUUGACGUUACCGACAAAAUAAGCACCGGCUAACUUCGUGCCAGCAGCCGCGGUAAGAC
rnacentral:rRNA from 1 species